GACGAACGCUGGCGGCGUGCCUAAUACAUGCAAGUUGAGCGAUGAAGAUUGGUGCUUGCACCAAUUUGAAUAGCAGCGAACGGGUGAGUAACGCGUGGGUAAUCUGCCUUUGAGCGGGGGACAACAUUUGGAAACGAAUGCUAAUACCGCAUAACAACUUUAAACAUAAGUUUUAAGUUUGAAAGAUGCAAUUGCAUCACUCAAAGAUGAUCCCGCGUUGUAUUAGCUAGUUGGUAAGGUAAAGGCUCACCAAGGCGAGGAUACAUACCCAACCUGAGAGGGGAUUGGCCCACACUGGACCGGAGACACGCACAAGACCCCAACGGAGGCCAGCGUUGGGGAAUCUCGGCAAUGGAGGGAAGUCUGACCGAGGCAACGCGCGUGAGUGGAGAAGGUUCUCGGAUCGUAAAAACCUGUUGGUAGAGAAGAAAGUAGGUGGGAGUGGACAGUGCACCACGUGACGGUAACUAACCAGAAAGGCACGGCUAACUACGUG
rnacentral:rRNA from 1 species